CAGAUGAUGCCGAGAUCUCCUGCCAACUUGAGCAGUAGACGGGUCCAUUUGAAGCAAGGAUUCAGCGACUUCUGGGUACUUGGGCAGUUGAACAUCGAAAACACCUUCAUGGGUGGUCCUCUGACAAAAUGAAUGAAUAAAGCAAAGGAGAGAAAGGUUAAGUGAGCUCCUUCCAGCGUGUGAGUUAUGUUUUAUGUGAACCGACUCAGAGACUGUUCAGUGGGAGAGACUCCGGCCACCUUCCAUGACAAAUAUGAGUCUUCAGCAAAAGAAACUUCCUUGUCCACAGCAGCUGGAGACAGCAUGGAUCAUGGACUUCCACGUGGUUUCCAGAGGCAGCUUGGAACACUGACCUCAACCUCAUCCUUGGGAGCAGCACAGAUUGUGGACAUCGACAUGGAGUAUCCUCCCUGUUUUGUGCUGGAAUGGUGGCUUGUUUUGUAUGCAGGUUUUUUUUUUAUAUGUACAGUUUUGUUGUAGAGCUCAGGACAGUCUCAAAUUCUGCAUUAGGAAGUCUGACAGGGAAGAAAGGCAAUGGCUCAACUCUGUUUGGUGAGGUCUGGGUCCUCCACCAGGAAGAAGGUGCGUGAAACAGAGGCUCGAAGCUGGAAUCCACUGCCUCACCCAUGUAUCUGGCAGCUGAUGGCUGGACACAUCUACUUACCGUCUCUCAGUGGAGUCUCUACUCAGAACUAUUUGGACUUCCGAACAUAGCAGCUGGCUUCCAAGAACCAGCGUCCCCAGAGAUGAGGGCCAGAGGCAUGUGAGAUAUUUCUGUCCAGGCUCGAGGUCUCAUGUUAAAAUUGGAAUGUGGGGUGAGAUGAUGUAUUGCAGUCAUCUUUGAAAGAUCAUAAUAAACAGCCGUAGAUUUGA